AUUUACUAAAACCAUGAAAUGGUUAAUCACUUUUUGAAGUCUGACGUAAAUGCCAUAUUUUACAUAUUUAAUUUGGUUGAGUAAAGUGUCCAAUC